CUGAAUCGUCUCCUCUAUGUGACAAAAGAAUAGUUCCUACUUCCUUAAUUACACUCAUCUAAAUUAUAAAACAUGUUAAAGACAACAAUAUAUUUAGUACCAGUUCAUUAUGAUUAACCUCGUAGUUGGGCGAGUCACCAGCUAGUUGCUAAUAAUGACACAACCGGUACAACCAAUGCAACAUGCUGGCACGCAUAUUUCAGAGAUUAUUCUUAAGGAUCUAGUACUGUCGGAGGAGCGCAUUUUGGGCGCAAGCACUCACACAAGGGCACCAAAUAAGGAAACUUCCACCAGCAACGCCCGUCAAUGAACUGGUGCUCUUGGCAAGCUCUCCUGCAUUUGGCAGUCCUCAUGCAAUAAUAGUAGUACACACGACUUAGGACCCAACAUUCAUCCGCUUCAAGUCCAACUCCAAGCAUAGGCGACACUGACCCUGCAAAUACAUGUUGUGAGUGAAUUGUGCCUAGCUAUGUGGUGCAGUGCAGUGUCCUGAACCAAUGAAGUAAACCAUGAAUACAUUAGUGAGUGAGAGGUUGCUUUACCACAAGGCAUGAAAAGUAGCCAUAGGAGGAGGCCGGAAGCCGUCGCCUUCA
rnacentral:lncRNA from 1 species